rnacentral:lncRNA from 1 species
UUACUCUGUAUGGCGUUUCUGGGACUGUCAAUUAACAAUGGCAUGCGAUGUGUGUCUCGCUGACUUACGAGUAUAAAAAUAAAAUGUACGGAUAUUAUGGUCUUUACUUCUAGACACAACACAGCGAGUUCCAGGCACAGAGAUGAAGAACAUAUUGCAAAAAGCCAUGACUACAAUUCUACUUCUUUCACUGUUGUCUAUACAAAAGACACGAUCUAUGGACACAUUCGAGAGCUAUGUGCGAAGAAAUGUUCCGAGUGGCUUUACAAUGGCGGCGUUCGUGGAGACAUGUGAGGGAUGUGGCGUUCUGUACGGAAAUAAGAUGACCUACAAAUGUUUGUCAGAUAAAUCCUUAAGUACAUUCAAAGGAUGCUUCAUCGCAGUUCAUGAUAGAAGAUAACAGAUCGUGACUUUGUUUUAACAGUACCUAAUAUAUCUAAAAAUCAUUUUUUACAAAACAAAACAAAACAUAUGGACAAUUUGUUCACGAUGUAUUUUUAAUUUGUUUAGGUUGAACACCACUAUUCGAACAGUUGUUCAUUUUGAAUGUUAUUAACUUGCUUUAAAAUGUUAUUUCAUUUUUUUCUAUGAUAACAGAUGAAGGAGUUAUAUUUGAAUAAAUGACUAAACCUUUGUUUUAGAAAAAAACGUUUGUUAGCUUUUAUGCCAUAAAAAUAUAUAUAUACUCCUUUUUGGUAGCUUUCAGUAUCUCUUUUAUGGACUUUAAAUUCUUAGCUGUUUUUUUUUCUACCGUGUGAAAAUUCCGAUGCUUUAUUGUACAUAUAAUGACGUAUCAGAGAAAAAGAAAACACGAUGAUAUUGUGAAAGCAAGGACGGUAAAACUACUUGUGAAACUCACGUUAGAAGUUGAACAGAAUAAAACAUGGAUGAAGGGUAUACAAAAUGAUAAAUAAUUAUACAGUUUCUACUUUUAAAUUACGUUGCCAAAUGACAAAACUUGUGUGUAAACUAUUAUUGCAACUGCAGACUACUGUGUCCACUUAUUACAUUUGUUUCGGAAAAAUAUAUCAGAGGGGAUUUCCUAGACGUCACGUCAAAUGUUGACGUUAUUGUUAAAACAGCAAUGCUGGACACAAAAUAUUAGACUAAAAUACUGGUCGCUAAAAAUCAAAUUUGCAUUAUUAAAAUGUUUUUGUAUGGUUUAAUUAUCUGGAAGUAAGUUUAAUUAAGAGUUAAGACGCAGUCUAUGGUGUUAUAAAAAUCUUGUAUCUGCGACCCUAAAAUGUUUCUAUAUCUCGUCUGCUUGGACAUACACGCACGGAAAACAGCAUAAGAUGUGACGUCAUUUCAGCCAACAGAUGUACAAACUUGAUACAGGAAAAAGUUGAAAAUCAGCAUAUAUAUGUUUCAGAUGCAUUCUAUAAGUAAAUGUGUUUAAAAGUUCCUAACUAGAAGUGCAUUUAAAUCGUUUCAAUACUAA